UAAACGGACUUUCCUGUGGUGGU
rnacentral:piRNA from 1 species